rnacentral:rRNA from 1 species
UGCAAGUCGAGCGAACGGACGAGAAGCUUGCUUCUCUGAUGUUAGCGGCGGACGGGUGAGUAACACGUGGAUAACCUACCUAUAAGACUGGGAUAACUUCGGGAAACCGGAGCUAAUACCGGAUAAUAUUUUGAACCGCAUGGUUCAAAAGUGAAAGACGGUCUUGCUGUCACUUAUAGAUGGAUCCGCGCUGCAUUAGCUAGUUGGUAAGGUAACGGCUUACCAAGGCAACGAUGCAUAGCCGACCUGAGAGGGUGAUCGGCCACACUGGAACUGAGACACGGUCCAGACUCCUACGGGAGGCAGCAGUAGGGAAUCUUCCGCAAUGGGCGAAAGCCUGACGGAGCAACGCCGCGUGAGUGAUGAAGGUCUUCGGAUCGUAAAACUCUGUUAUUAGGGAAGAACAUAUGUGUAAGUAACUGUGCACAUCUUGACGGUACCUAAUCAGAAAGCCACGGCUAACUACGUGCCAGCAGCCGCGGUAAUACGUAGGUGGCAAGCGUUAUCCGGAAUUAUUGGGCGUAAAGCGCGCGUAGGCGGUUUUUUAAGUCUGAUGUGAAAGCCCACGGCUCAACCGUGGAGGGUCAUUGGAAACUGGAAAACUUGAGUGCAGAAGAGGAAAGUGGAAUUCCAUGUGUAGCGGUGAAAUGCGCAGAGAUAUGGAGGAACACCAGUGGCGAAGGCGACUUUCUGGUCUGUAACUGACGCUGAUGUGCGAAAGCGUGGGGAUCAAACAGGAUUAGAUACCCUGGUAGUCCACGCCGUAAACGAUGAGUGCUAAGUGUUAGGGGGUUUCCGCCCCUUAGUGCUGCAGCUAACGCAUUAAGCACUCCGCCUGGGGAGUACGACCGCAAGGUUGAAACUCAAAGGAAUUGACGGGGACCCGCACAAGCGGUGGAGCAUGUGGUUUAAUUCGAAGCAACGCGAAGAACCUUACCAAAUCUUGACAUCCUUUGACAACUCUAGAGAUAGAGCCUUCCCCUUCGGGGGACAAAGUGACAGGUGGUGCAUGGUUGUCGUCAGCUCGUGUCGUGAGAUGUUGGGUUAAGUCCCGCAACGAGCGCAACCCUUAAGCUUAGUUGCCAUCAUUAAGUUGGGCACUCUAAGUUGACUGCCGGUGACAAACCGGAGGAAGGUGGGGAUGACGUCAAAUCAUCAUGCCCCUUAUGAUUUGGGCUACACACGUGCUACAAUGGACAAUACAAAGGGCAGCGAAACCGCGAGGUCAAGCAAAUCCCAUAAAGUUGUUCUCAGUUCGGAUUGUAGUCUGCAACUCGACUACAUGAAGCUGGAAUCGCUAGUAAUCGUAGAUCAGCAUGCUACGGUGAAUACGUUCCCGGGUCUUGUACACACCGCCCGUCACACCACGAGAGUUUGUAACACCCGAAGCCGGUGGAGUAACCUUUUAGGAGCUAGCCGUCGAA